UGAUGAUGCCAUGUCACCCUGCAGCCCAAGACCGGUUACUCACUGAAGCUAAGCAGGGCUGAGCCUGGUCAGUACCUGGAUGGGAGACCACUAGGGAACACUAGGUUGCUGUUGG
rnacentral:rRNA from 1 species